AGCAGGCCGGUCACAACCUGCGCUCGCACGUGACCAGGUGCACCUAGUUCCCAGCUAAUCUAUGGUGUGGAACUGCAUAUAUUUGAUCAAGACUGGUUUCCUCGAUGGCAGGUGAGGAAGCAUCGUCAUGCAGAAGGAGCCUGCAGUUGGGAAGGCACAGCAGCACCCUGCCUGUAGGGCUCCAUCUGAGGACUCAAGUGCUUACACCGUGUAUCCUUCCAUGUGACCACUGGGCCCAAGUCUCUGAGACAGUGCAGUGCUGUUGCUGUGCAACGCCAUCUUGUUUCCCGUCAGGCCAAGCAGCAGCAACUUCUUUUCCCUUGUUCUCAACUGCAGAGCUCCGUGAUGACUUGUGUUGUUCCUGGGACCACACCGUGAGAACCACUGACUGGGAGAAAAUUCUUGGACAUCAGCACUCAGAUCGCAAGCCUUAGAGAUGCUUUUGAAAAACCUCUCUGGAAAUAACAGCUUUGGCACCAGCGCUGCAAAUUACAAUUGAAACAGAGUGGGAAACAGUCAAUGAAAUGGUCAGCUCUUUGCCCAGGUACUUUUGGCAUGUCCUCUUUUCUGGGGACCAAACACCUUACCCCACACACCUGCUUCCCCACCUGCAGCCCCCGAAGUUGGAGCGGCCAUGAGGGGGUGUUAGGAGAUAGCACAUGUUAAAAUAUAACCCCCCCCAGCCAUUUCAUAUCUUACUUCCGGGUUCUUUCCCGACUCUGAGUCCUUUCUCCCGCCGAAAUUGUAAAGCGCGAAACUAGAGCCUCUCCAAGGCGCGAAAUUCAAAAGACAACCUGGCUUGCGAUAGGAUAACAAAGACCGCUCCUCCCAAGGAAGGAUCUUCCGCUGCCCGCCCUAUAAGUAUCCCAGUACUUCCUCUUCUCGCUCUCUGGCUCUCUGCCCUCCGCCUCCUGCUCACCUCCCUAUAAUAAACAUCUCCUGCCGGACC
rnacentral:lncRNA from 1 species